rnacentral:rRNA from 1 species
UACGAAGGGGGCUAGCGUUGCUCGGAAUCACUGGGCGUAAAGGGUGCGUAGGCGGGUUUUUAAGUCAGGGGUGAAAUCCUGGAGCUCAACUCCAGAACUGCCUUUGAUACUGAAGAUCUUGAGUCCGGGAGAGGUGAGUGGAACUGCGAGUGUAGAGGUGAAAUUCGUAGAUAUUCGCAAGAACACCAGUGGCGAAAGCGGCUCUCUGGGACGGUACUGACGCUGAGACGCGAAAGCGUGGGGAGCGAACAGG